GCUAAAAACUUAGCCUUANCCCUACAAUUAUAUUUACCCUAUUUUACUUACACAAAAUAAAACAUUCUUUAAGCUUAGUAAAGGAGAUAAAAAAGUUUUUUAGAGCUAUAAAAUAAGUACCGCAAGGGAAAAAUGAAAUAAAAAUGAAACAAAAUUCAAGCAUAAUAUAGUAGAGUUUUCCCCUCGUACCUUUUGCAUCAUGAUUCAACUAGUUUAACCACGCAAAAAGAAUUUAAGUUUGACUUCCCGAAACUAAGUGAGCUACUUCAGGGCAGCUAAAUGAGCCAACCCGUCUCUGUUGCAAAAGAGUGGGAUGACCCUUAAGUAGAGGUGAUAAACCUAACGAACUUAGUGAUAGCUGGUUAUUCAGAAAAAGAAUUUUAGUUCAACUUAAAAUUACAUAAAUAAAAUAAAAUAAAAUUUUAAUUUUAAAGCAAUUCAAAUAAGGUACAGCCUAUUUGAAAUAGAAUACAAUCUAAACUAUAGGGUAAAUAUAAAAAAUUAAUGUAAUAAAGUAGGCCUAAAAGCAGCCAACUUUAAAAUAGCGUCAAAGCUUACUUCCAUAAUUUUUUAAUACUAUUAUUUACAAUGAACCCUUUAUUUUUACUGAAUAUUUCUAUAAAGUUAUAGAACCUUUUAUGUUGAAACUAGUAACAAGAAGUUAAACUUCUCCUCAAUAUAAGUAUAAGUCGACUAGGAUAAACCAUCGACAAUUAACGCUUAAAUUAAAUGUAUUAACUCCACAAGAAAAACUUACAUUACCCCACGUUAAUCUUACACCAGAACAUUUAAGGAAAGAUUAAAAAAA
rnacentral:rRNA from 1 species